AUUGAACGCUGGCGGCAGGCCUAACACAUGCAAGUCGAACGAGUGGCGGACGGGUGAGUAAUGUCUGGGAAACUGCCCGAUGGUGGGGGAUAACUACUGGAAACGGUAGCUAAUACCGCAUACCAUCGGAUGUGCCCAGAUGGGCUUUGCUUGUGGGUGGGGUGACGGCUCACCUAGGCGACGAUCCCUAGCUGGUCUGAGAGGAUGACCAGCCACACUGGAACGGAGACACGGUCCAGACUCCUACGGGAGGGAGCAGUGGAGAAUAUUGCACAGUUGGCGCAAGCCUGAUGCAGCCAUGCCGCGUGUAUGAAGAAGGCCUUCGGGUUGUAAAGUACUUUCAGCGAGGAGGCGUUACUCGCAGAAGAAGCACCGGCUAACUCCGUGCCAGCAGCCGCGGUAAUUC
rnacentral:rRNA from 1 species